rnacentral:rRNA from 1 species
UACGGGGGGGGUAAGCGUUGUUCGGAAUUACUGGGCGUAAAGGGCUCGUAGGCGGCCAACUAAGUCGGACGUGAAAUCCCUCAGCUUAACUGGGGAACUGCGUCCGAUACUGGAUGGCUUGGAUUUGGGAGAGGGAUGCGGAAUUCCAGGUGUAGCGGUGAAAUGCGUAGAUAUCUGGAGGAACACCGGUGGCGAAGGCGGCUCUCUGGGCCUGUCCUGACGCUGAGGCGCGAAAGCUGGGGGAGCGAACAGG